rnacentral:rRNA from 1 species
GACGAACGCUGGCGGCGGGCUUAACACAUGCAAGUCGAACGAAGUGGCGAACGGGUGAGUAACGUGUAAUCAACCGGCCCAUCAGGGGGGGACAACAGUUGGAAACGACUGCUAAUACCGAUUAAUGAAGAAGGGGUUGGCGUCUGAUUGGCUAGUUGGAGGGGUAAUGGCCCACCAAGGCGAUGAUCAGUAGCCGGUCUGAGAGGAUGAACGGCCACAUUGGGACUGAGACACGGCCCAGACUCCUACGGGAGGCAGCAGUGGGGAAUAUUGGACAAUGGGCGAAAGCCUGAUCCAGCCAUGCCGCGUGUGUGAAGAAGGUCUUCGGAUUGUAAAGCACUUUAAGUUGGGAGGCGUUACCAACAGAAUAAGCACCGGCUAACUUCGUGCCAGCCGCCGCGGUAAUUC